CAGCAGCCACGGUAAUACGAAGGGGGCUAGCGUUGCUCGGAAUCACUGGGCGUAAAGGGUGCGUAGGCGGGUCUUUAAGUCAGGGGUGAAAUCCUGGAGCUCAACUCCAGAACUGCCUUUGAUACUGAAGAUCUUGAGUUCGGGAGAGGUGAGUGGAACUGCGAGUGUAGAGGUGAAAUUCGUAGAUAUUCGCAAGAACACCAGUGGCGAAGGCGGCUCACUGGCCCGAUACUGACGCUGAGGCACGAAAGCGUGGGGAGCGAACAGGAUUAGAUACCCCUGUAGUCCCUGUCUCUUAUAU
rnacentral:rRNA from 1 species